GGGCAACAAGAUGGCUGCGCCCAUGUGUGCUUGGAGGUCGGCUGGGCAGAGGGUUUAGUUCUGUCCUGUCCCUGGUGGAAAUAGACUCUCCGUGCCACGUCGCGUUGCUACGUCUUGCUGCCAUCCGUGCAUGGAGCCGCGAGAGUCCUGGGCGGCCUUGGCGGCUGGUGGAAUUGCUGGCGUCUUUGUCGACUUGAUCCUUUUUCCUCUGGAUACUGUAAAAACCAGACUGCAAAGUCCCCAAGGAUUUAGGAAAGCUGGUGGCUUUCGUGGCAUCUAUGCUGGCGUUCCCUCCACUGCUAUAGGAUCCUUUCCAAAUGCUGCUGCGUUUUUUAUCACCUAUGAGAAUGUGAAAUCUGUGCUGCACCAUGACUCUACAUCAUACUUGACUCCAGUUACACACAUGGUGGCUGCCUCCUUUGGGGAAGUGGUUGCGUGCCUCAUACGGGUUCCAUCUGAAGUUAUCAAGCAAAGGGCCCAGGUUUCACCUUCUGCUGGAACCUUUCGGAUUCUUUCCCACACGUUGUACCAUGAGGGUAUUCAAGGACUUUAUCGAGGUUAUAAAAGCACGGUAUUAAGAGAGAUUCCCUUCUCUCUGGUACAGUUUCCCCUCUGGGAGUUCUUAAAGGAUCUCUGGUCAUGGAAGCAGGGUCACGUGGUGGAUUCUUGGCAGUCAGCAGUCUGUGGAGCUUUUGCAGGUGGAUUUGCAGCUGCAGUUACCACACCUCUCGACGUAGCGAAGACAAGGAUUAUGCUGGCAAAGGCUGGUUCCACCACGGCUAGUGGAAACGUUCUGGCUGCCCUUGGUGGCAUCUGGAGGACGCAAGGACUGCCAGGGCGCGUCCCCUUCUUGUGCCCUGCAGGACCUGCCCUGCACCCAGCACACCGCAGGAAGGACCUGUCCACGUCCAGCAGCAGCAGGCAAGUGGGGAGAGGGGCUGCUCUGCACACAGCAGUGCACUGAUGCUGCUGGAAAUGACACUUAGUUCUGGGACUACAAGGGAGGAGGACGUGAAAAGUACACUGCAGUGUUUUUCCUCUCCUGCCUGUUUGCCUUGAGCUCUUAGAUACAUUUUGGCAGUUAUUUCAAGUUUACUGAAACUUGAAAAAUUCAUCUUAUUCCAUUCCUGGGAUAACGUUGAAUCUCAAGGCAUUGGCUUAAAGGAUCUCUCUUUUCCAUUUUAAAAUACUUUAACUCCUACAUGUGUUAAGGGAAUUAUCAGAUGCUCUCAGAAAAGCUGUGCCGUACUUUGAAUUAGCAACUGAAGAAUACUUUUUAAUAUGCAGAAAUUGAAUUUAGUUUAAGUGGGAAUUCACUCUUCUCUCAAUCACAAAUUGCCUCUGUGAUUUCUAGACGGGGUGGGGUUUGGAUUUGACAAAGCCAAAGGUGUUCACAACUGCAGCUGAAUCUGGUGCUAUCUGGCCCCAUUUUUCUUACCUGCUUAUACAUACACCCAUCUGUUCUGCUUUCCGUGCCAAGAUAGCAGUACUUGCCAGAUACUUCAGCAGUCCAUGUAUCAGAAUUGUUUCUCAAAUGAGUUCUCUGUGGUAUCUUUUAGUGCAGCCCCCAGCUUCCACCCCAUUCCCACGUCGGGCUGCCAAGGCUCACACUGCUCUGCAGUACCUGAGGUUACAUUUGUGGGUCUGAGUUCACAAAGGGAUGUUCUGGCAGUUAUUUUGCACCUUCAUCAGAGAAAGUCAGAAAAGAGUAUAGCAAUGGAUAAGAAUUUUAUUUAGGUUUUUAACUGAAACUCCCAAAAGCUCACUCAACAAAAAAAGCUGUAAUAUUAUAAAUGAACCUUUAUUAAAGACACUUCAAUGCAUUUGUUAGACACUUUAAUAUCUUACAUGUUUUUCAAUGUACAACAUUGUACCAAAUUUUCUAAUAAAUAAAUAACUUUGUACACAAAAGUAAUACUUCCUCUUUCACAUUGCCUCUUAGAAGCAGCAAAUUCACAUAUUUAGUGGAAGUCAGAACGUUAGGCAGUUAUCUUUAUUCAGAAACAUCAUUUUCAAAUGUUAAUGUGGCAACUAUGCUUUGUCUCUGCAAUGGUGAUGACAUUUCUGCCAGCAAAAUGAGUCGUCAGUUAAGUCAUUCCUGUGUUCCCAGUCCCCCCAUCCUCACUGAGCUGGUUUUGAAGCAUGCCUUUCCCUUGAGGAAAGGGAAACAUACGCUCACAUACGCUCGGUUUAUGAUUUUCUAACAUCCAUUUCCUUUGCUUGGAACAGACUUGGCACUCAACAUAAUUAGCCACCUGUCUCAAAGUGCAAACGUGUCAAUAGUCAGAAACUGAUACAGACAGGUACCUGGCUAAAUUAUGCUUUGCUUCAUUAAGGUCGGGCUCAGUUGGCUUGUUUACAGCAAAGCUCGCCUUCAGCUGCUGUGCAGAAGACGCAGAUCCUUCCUUACAGGAGAUGUCGGCCUCAAGGUAAGGUGGGACACGACCAACGUUAAAAUAAAUGGGCACGUUGCCAUUGCAGGGCAGCACGUGACUUUAUCAAAAUCCCACAGGUGUGGUAGGUCUCAGACAGAUACAAAAGUAAUGGAUCUGAACCCAAACUGCAGUGUUUCUGCAUGUUGUGAGCCACAGUCUUAGCAAAAGUAGAUUUCCACUCGAUUCUGCUGCAGUGGAACUGGCAUUUGUGUUGCUCCUAAGGAAAAAAGUAACAAAACCCCUAAUAAACCUUUCCCCAAAGUAGUCAUCACCAGAGUUAGCAACCUUGUAUUAGCAGAACUCAAAUUAUAAAUAACUGGAAGGGAGUCCUCCAUCCACAGGUACCAACACCAACAGAAAGCAGCCUUUCUAUGAAUAAAAAGCUUCAAACUGAAGUUAGAAGUGACAAAGAUCUGUCUCACCAAAAUGGGCAUUUUUUUUCCCCCCCAUUCAUGGAUGAACUUAAAAGACCACAUAAAAAUAUUUCAGACAUUUCCAUUUUAAAGUGUACUUUCAACCACAGUUUCUCUUCUAAAGGAGACUAUUUCUGAACAGCCCAGAAUUGCUACACGAGGCAGCAUAAUUAAUUGGAAGCGGAUAUUUUCACCUACAGUCUGGCUGCAGAUCAGGGCGAUGGUGUCGAACAAGCAAGUGGAAUAUUGUACUGCAGGGAGAAAGUGAGAGUAUCAGAUGAAUUAAGGGUACAGCUGUCAGAGCGGGACUUAAUUUCUGUUGUCACAGCAGCUCCAUGCUUUUGAACCCCCCUCCAGGCCAGACGUGUACUGCUUGCUUAGCCAACGUGGUGAAGCGCAGGGCUGAGCGCUGCUCCUGCACGGGGCCGGGCUGCAGCACUGCAGGCUCCUCUCCACUGGGGGCAGCGCCUGCAGCUCGGCUCUGUCAGUGGCCAGCGCGAUGCAGCGCGGUUGGGCACAGAAUGCCUGCUGCUGCCAAGCUUUUGAGAGGUGCCGUGCAUGAGGCCACCCCACGGCUUACUGCAUGAAUCGUUUAUUUUGGGAACGACUGCUCGCUACUCACGGUCUCCAUUUGGUCGGGUUGUUCUGGGGCUCUGCACUGUUGCGGAAUUAUUUCGUGCCACUUGUGUGGUCCACUCGAAUGUGUCAUGGGGAAAAUACAAACUCUGAUGCAGUGUUGAAAAAUAAUGGAAUUUAAGUUCUUCCACAAACAGGAAAACAGUCAGGUUGCUAUGUAAUUCCUCACUGCUUGUUUUCUUUAUUCCUGUAAGCUUCAUUUCAAACAGUUGCAGAUCCCUGUUUAAAUGUGUUAAGUGCAAUAAAUUUCAGAGGGGAAAGAAUUUGUGCUAAGUAACCCAAUUGAUACUUGAUUUAAAGGGACUUCCACUGGAAAGAGGACAAUCCCUUUGGAACAGUCUGGCUUUUUAAACUUCUGUUUAUGCAUUUAAGGCACCAGAAUUAUUUCUCUCACAAAGUUUAACAGCAACCUGAUACUGCAAACAGUAUUGCCAAAAUUGUAAAAUUUCACUCAGUUUUCCAUGCACUAAAGAUUAAAAUAGCCUCUGUAAAAGAUAUAUAUAUAUAUUUAUAUAUAUAUUUAUAUAUGAAAACUCUUAUGUACAAUUGUAUCAAAUACUUUUUUCUUUACACAAUAACUCUUGCAUUUAUGUGCUUCAUAUGCAAGUCAACUUUUGAAUGCUUCAUACUUCACAGGGAAGUUUUAAACUAUGUACAAACAGAUGACGCUCGAACAGGAGUUUGUUCCCCAUACAAGCUUGUUUCUCAUACCUCAGCUGUUUUACCUUUGACAGGUCAUCAGUUCAAGAUUUGAGGUAGAAGUAAGUAGCCUCUAUACUCUGUGCAAAAAAUAAUAAUAAUAAUAGCACAUUUGUUGCUUUGCACAUGGCAGUCUGUCCUCUCAGUCUGUCGAUCUGCUCGAGGGCUUCAACGCAUGACUGGAGUCGCACGACUUGGGUGUGAAGCCAUUGGCCAGGAGGGCCUGUUUUGCUUCUGCUUCGCUCUGCAGAUCCAGUAGUGUUGGGGGAAUUUCAGGGAGCACGUUCAGUUGCUUUAGUGACCCUCCUGCCGGCGAAGCUCUCACCAAGUUCAGGUUGUUAAGCUCUGAAGGCUUUGCUCCUGAUUGCGAAGAGCCUGCAGAAAAGUAAAGCAGCGCGGUUAGCUGGUGCUCAGCCCGCCAGCAGUACGCACAGAGCCAACCCUGCCGCUGUCAUUCCUGCCCUUGAGCCAAGUUAAAAAAGCAAAUGGGGCACGGCGUACCGUGUUGGUCUGCAAGCAGAGGGCUGGCGGCGCUCACGGCUGUUAUUCUGUCAUGGUUGCUGGGGUAAAGGGUCCCAUCAGCUUCCAUCCUCUUGCUGGCAAUCCCGUUGCACUGCUGCGGAUGAAGAAGGCUGGUGGUGCCUGCACCCCUCUUCCUGCUCCGUUCCUUGCUGCUCAGUGCAUUGUGGUAGGAAGCAUCCAGAGCCUGAAGGCCCUCCGCGUAGUACUGCGACUCGCCGGGACAGAUGUGGACGUUCAUGCUGUCUGUGCUGCCGCUGCAGUCUGUGCACACAACGGGCAGGCCGUAGCCUUUCCAGAAGGAAGAGAAAACAGCAACAAAUGCAGAUCGACCAGCUGGAAUUUGUCAGCACUGAGACACACAGAACACUCGGCAGAGCGGGAAGCUCGCUCGGUAGAUAAUAUGGACAUUUUCUGCUUCACAUUCAGGGCUCGCAAAGACUUGUGCUUGUCACAACUCAGCAGCUGUCCUGUCACUAAAGGUAGUUCCAAUAACUAGCUGAGUUUUUGGGUUUUUUUUUCCUAACUCCAAUGAAGCUUUGAUUUCGUUUUUAAAAAUCUACCAUACACUUGUUUCCUUUUCCAGACUUUCUAGUCAGGGCAGAAAUAGAAACUGGAACUUUGCUAUAACCGCUUCAAAAUACCAAUUUGCCUUUCUUAUUUUUGUGCUGCUGCUUUAUAGGGAUCACUGUCAAAUCGUAUUGUUAUCUCAGGAUACUUUAUUGCUGCUAGUGGGAACAGCAGCUGAGCAGAAUUCAAAGCAGCAAGAUGAAAGGAGGUUCUGAGUUUUGAAAGUUAGUUUCCUGAGUGCACUUGACAGCUUUUCAUUAUUCUACUUUACUGUUUCUCCUGGAGAGAGAAUUUAUCCUAAAAAUAGGAAAGUGUAACACCCAAGAAAUUGGCACAGAGAAGCAGCAGGUGCAGUGCCCAAAACAACAGUAAAAUUCUGAAAAUUCAAAUUAAAAAAGAAAAGAAAAGCUGAGCUUUGAAGAUGACAGCGCCUUUAAAGACCAUGAAAAAAUUUUAACACCUUCAGUUUGGAAGGGCUCUCUUCAUUUUAGGAACAGCUCAAAUCAAAACACCCCUCAGCCAGCUGUGAGCGAUGGCCAGCACAAGCUUCAGCCCUCCUCCUUCUGAUGGGCCCCUGAAUUCAAACUAUCCAACUUUGAGAGAGGAUCAAAGCAAGCAGGAGAAAGUAAUUUAUUGUGCUCACACCUGAGAAACAUCCUGGCCUCUUUUUCUGAAGGUAACAAUUUCUCGUCUCAUUGCUGUCUGACUCGGAGGGCUUUCUGAUCUGUACAAACACGAAAUACCUUUCUAGAUUAAUGAGUUUUGUACCUGUCUUAUCUGGAACAAGCAUUCCGUCAGCCGUGUCUUCAGUUUUCCAAGUGUCUUUAUUAUAGCCGAUGCACAGCUUUGGCUGUCUGCAACCUACAGUGGGAGCUUCAACAUCUGGACACCUUCCAGCAUCAGUCUGACACAUACCUGUAACAAACGAACCAUCUGGCUACAGAUUGCAACCAUCUGCCCUCAGCUGAAUGACUUGUUAGUCAUAUUUCUACCCAUAAAAGCUGCAAAAGGGAAAAACAGCAGUGAAGAUAAUAGAUUCUGUUAAACAUUAGCUUAAAAUUGUAAGUGAUGUCUAAUCUUCGGAGAAUCUUAGUUCAGAACAGUUACCUUUUCUUUCCUAAUGUGCCGUGUUUAAAUACUGUAAAACCCCAGCAUUUAAUUUCUAAGCCUGAAGGCAGGGACAGGCCAUGCUAAUGUUCCUUCUAGUAAAGCUUAACUAUGGUAACUCCAGUGCCAAAGAACUAAUCCAAAAUUAGCAGGGAAAAAAAAAAAACCAACAACUCGUUAUGGCCUGACUGAGCAGUUUUGAAGCUGUCUGCUUAAUCUGCUUAAUUAAACUCGGUUAUAACAGGGAGAGGGUAGCUUUGCAAAGUGAGAGAGUCCUUGUUCUGCAUAAAUGCAGAGGCCGGAGAAUUCCAGUGCAAAGAUCUAUCAGCUAACUCAUAACAAGCACAGGAAUACUUGACAUUGUAUUUUUUCCAUCCCUGCAUCAUGUUCAGAUGCAGUAUUACAGAAGAAAUGACUGGUUCUCACCAUUGCUGUCUAUGUGUCCAUUAGGCUGCUGGUUAUCUCCUCUGACGACCGCUUCCUGCCGGUCAGAAAGAGUCCCUUGUGAGGACAAGUAGCUCGGCACGUCUGGAGGCACAAUGGUCUCAUCUGGAGCAGUGGGAGAAAGAUAUGAAUUCCUAGAAAAACAUAAAGGCUUCUUCUGUUUGUAUUACAUCUCAAAUCCCAUUUUCAAGAGGGACUGAGGACCAGAUCUGUGUCUACUCGGUAUUUUCUGUAAGAGCAGUGAAUUACAAUUCAGCUGCCUAGAAUCUCCUAAUGCCCCUCAGCAGCCCCACUCCCGAUUUUUUCAAAGCCUGAAGCUGUGAGAUUUAAUGCUGAUAAACCAUUCUGGAUGUUUGGCACUGCCAGGACAAAGUGGAACUGUCUCUUCACAACCCAUAAGAGCUUAUCACCUGAAAUCCAGCACACCUCAUUUGAUUCAUGUCCUCUGUCUCCCAGAGCCAUGAAGAACAGGCUUCUGGAGGGCAGGGAUUCUGACUUCAGCAGGCAAAGUCCAAGUCACUUAGCUACCCUUGGCUUUCUCCAUCUCGUAUCAGGCAGUUUUACUUUCCCCUGCCAUUUAAAUACCAAGUGAAACUCAAGUACACCAGGACUGAAUAGAAGGGAGACAAAAAUCCCACUUAGACAUGGCACUGGUGACAUGGUAUCCAACGUUUCCUACUUAAGUCCACCUCAUGCUUAUAUCUAAAUCUAAUAGCAAUACAGGAAGACCAAAUAUGUGAGAACAGGGAAGCCUUAAAGUAGUUUUGCCUUACUUCUGUACAGAGACUGUUUAAAGCUGAUGGCAGGAGAGUUUUUAUCCCUGCAACAUUUGGUUCAGCACCUUAUUAUCCCCUUGGAAGACUGGCAGAAAGCAAUAAGCACUCCUUCCUUCCCCCAGGAAGAGAGGGAUGCCCCUCAUCAGUAUGGUUAUAACAGCUCUUACAGGCAAUAUGGAAAAAGGGUUUCCAGCUUCAGAGGCUCACUUUUGUAUGUUCAGAACAUGCAGUCUUUGAAAAUACAGAUUCUCAAGAAGUUAAGAUCUAAGCACUGUGGGCAUCACACUGACUAUCUUGAGUUAUCAUUUACAGUCAUGGAAAAUUAAAGUUGCAAAACAACAGUUGAAACUACUUCCACUUGGAAAAGACCUUUCUGAAGAGCCAGCCAAGGGCAGAAAUGCAGCUGUAAACAUGCAGGCAAAGGGUGGUUCCAGCUGCUGCAGCCAAGAGAACCACUGAGAAAAGCCAACUGCUUUUCCAGUAAGAUUGUGGCUACCUGACAUGCUGAUUUGGCCCCGGUGGGAAGUCUGAUAACACAGCAGAUGAUGCAGACCCAGACCAGCGAAGUCAGCACAAUGCUACACACCACAGCAAUGGUGAUGAUCCCCACAGUGGUACGGUCCUUUCUGCAGCCAAGAGACUGUAAGAUGCUCACGUGGCUGUGCGCACGCUCUGUCCCCAGGGUGUUGGACAUCUCACAUGUGUAUUUCCCAGCGUCUUCCAAGACAACAUUCCUAACGAUGAGGAGCUGGUUGCCAGAGGUGAAGUGAUGCCUUUCUGUCACGAUCAGGGGCUGGUCGCCUUUCAGCCAGCACAUACCUGUCCAGGACACCCCACUCAGGAUCAUUAGAGCUGGAAUCAAAGCUGAUUUUCUUCUGUGAUUAAGCUGGAAACAAAACCCAUUAUCCCUCCUACUUUCAAUCACUACAGUCUCUUUUCUUUCUAUACUUUUUUACUCCCAUGGGCAAAGACUCCACUGGAACAGCCAAAGACAAGUGAUUACAGCCAUUAAAACCGUGCCUGGCUGGAUGGCAGCCAUCACAGCCUGGCAUGUGCUCCUCACGUGGCAUUCUCAGCAUCCCCUGAGAGGCAAGCAGCUGGUGUGAAGAGGUUACGAACUUCUCCUGCAAAACCCUCAGGAGUUUACAGGUUUACAGCUGGCCCCAGAGAAUUGCUGAGGGAGGGAAGGAGAACUCGGCUUGCUACUCACCAUUAACAGUGAGUCGAGCCUUGUUGGAGUAGGUGGAGCCAAAGUGGUUGGUGAUGAUGCACUGGUAUCGGCCCUCGUGGGCAAAGGUGACGUGGCGGAGGUGCAGAAUGGUGGUGUAUUCCAUCACCUCGCCAUCCUUCGCCCGCACGUGGGCAAAGUUCUCAAUCUCAGCAUUAUGCAGCACUUCGUUGUCUUUCUUCCACGCAAACAUCAUGGGGGAGCUGCUGCUGCUGGCAGCCGAGCACGUGAAACGGAUGUCCUUCCCAAGGACGGCCACCGUGGUCUCUGGCUGGAUGAUGAUCUGAGGCUUGGGGAAAUCAUCUGAGAGGAAACAGAAAGCCCUGUUAGUACUGGACUCUAAGGGCAGACUGGAACAAGCAAAGAGGUGCAACUAGAAACGAGCAGCAUUUAGUGGAAGACAUUAUUACCCUUCUGUCUUUACAUCCCCUGCUGUCUACGCCAGAAAAGCAGCUUGCUCUUGCUAAGCACCCACCUUUGGGACAAUGCACACAUAAUGCACCUCCACUGAGUGGCCGGUCUAAGCUAAGGCUCUUGUUUCUCGGGUUCCUUCUGUUAAUCUGAAUGAGAUAGUCUGCAAACCAGCGGAUGCCCAGCUCUUUUCACCCAUGCAGCUGAACCUCAGAAAUACACUGGUCUAAAGAAACUAUCCUUCCCUGCACAGCCCAUGCACAAAGGAAACAAUGCUGAAUUUAUGACUUAAACUCCAGUGCUGCAUUAGCAGUGAAAGGUCCUAGAUGGUGGUGGGAUGGUGGUGUUGCCCAGAAUCCGGAUGUAUGAGCAUCACUUCAGUCUCCUUUGAUCAUUUAUAUUUCUUUACUAGGGAAGCUGCAGACAUUUGUGCAUGCCAAGUGUUUACUGAAGACUCUUUGCAACCAAAGCUCAGGUGCAGAGUCAACUUCAGAGAGUGAGUAGGAGAACACCAGUAGGUGCCACUUAGAUGAAAAAUGGUAAUAAUUCAGGUGUUAGCCAGUCGGUUCCUGUAUAAUGCCUAGAUGGUCCAAUAAAAGGAGCUGUGAUGGGGAGGUUCUCCUCUUUUUUUUUUUUUAACUCCUUGUUCUUGUUUGCAAGAAGGAGAAAAGGUAAGCAAAGAACACAGAGCCACAGAGCGAGCUCAGAGUGCUGCAAGAUGAAAAACUUUCCAGCUGCAGUCUUGGUAAUAUCAAGCCAAGUGCAGCUGUGCAGCCCCAUUUGGAGCUGGAAUGAGCAUCAGUCCCUUUUGAUUUAAUAGCCGUGGAGCCCUGUGCAGGAUUCACGCGAUGCAGGCGAUGCGCUGUGCGGUUGUGGUGGGAAAUAAAUUGUAGCCAAUGACAAAUUUUCCAAAUGCAGGCUUGGGCUUCCUUUGAUCCCAUUGAAUACCAAAACAAAACAGAAACCCUCUCAUAAUAACAUGCUAGUAGUCAAAGAAAAUGUUUCCCAAGUGAGUUCUGCCCUUCGUACAACCUCAAAACACACAAGCAAGACUUACCACACACAAAACUUUCUGGCAGGACAGCAAAAAUGCUUUUGCUCUUCAGCGACUCGGGAUGGGCGCAGGUGGCCACCACGAAGGACUGCAGCUCUUUCUCCACCAACCACGGGGGCAGCCAUUUCAGCUGGCAGUCACAGAGGAAGCUGUCGCUGUUGAUGUGGCUGCGGGGAAACAAAUCCAACACAGCUCGCUGUGAGUUCUGCACGGAGGGAGGGCUGCAAAGCUCACGGCCCUUUCAUGUUAGUCACAUUCCUCCCUUCCCUUCAGCAGGAGUGGAAGGAAGAAAAGGCCUGCAGGUUGUCCGCAAAGCACUGAUGAAGCUACCUACGUCACACAUUUAAGUGGCAUUUCAUCUCCACACAAAACAACGCCUCCCUGUAUUCCAGAGAAACUCCCUGGUGCCUUAUUAUUCAGUUUUCAGAGUGGUCCCCAGCAGCAUUUAUCAGCGUUCUAACAGUAACUCAGCACCUUCUGUUAAGGAAAGAGCUAUGGGUGCAAACAGAAGUGGAGACUCAGGAUUAUUUUUUUUUUUCAGUAAGACCAGAUCAGCCUUUCUCCUCUAUUUUGUUUCAAGAGCCAGUGUAGCAAUAGAUAAAGUGGUUAAAGAGACAGUGGGCAUGCAACCUGAUCUUACUGACCCCGCAGUCACUGUACUCAUGUCACUGCCAGCAUCAGUUGUCUGAUUCCCGUUUUCAAAGUCAGGAAGAAGACCCUGAACUUGCCUGAGUACCAACUAAGUGAUUUCU